AAGAUCAGUAAGCCAGGCUGUCACCUGACCAGAGGACCAAUCAGGGGACAGGAUACUUUCAAAUCUUGAGGGAGGGAAGUUUUUGUGUGUGCUGUUAGUGUUUGGUGGUUGUUCUCUCUGGGUUCUGAGAGUGACCAGACGUGCAACCAGGUUUCUCUCCAAUCUCUUUGAUACAGUCUCUUAUAUGUCCAGAAUAGUGAGUACUAGGUAGAUAAGGUGAGCUAAGCUUAUGUUUGUUUUCUUUAUUUGCAAAUGUGUAUUUGGCUGGAAGGAGUUCAAAUGUGUAUUUGGCUGGAAGGAUUUUAAUUUGUACUUGUAUACUUAGGCUGGGAGGGUAUUCCCAGUGUCUAUAGCUGUAAGACCCUGUAACAUAUUCCCUCUUAAAUUUACAAAGAUAAUUUUUACUGUUUUUUUUCUUUAAUUAAAAGCUUUUCUUGUUUAAAAA